GAUGAAGAACGUAGCGAAAUGCGAUACUUGGUGUGAAUUGCAGAAUCCCGUGAACCAUCGAGUCUUUGAACGCAAGUUGCGCCUCAAGCCAUUAGGUUGAGGGCACGUCUGCCUGGGCGUCACAUAUCGUUGCCUGAUGCCAGUUUCCUCGUGAUGGGUGACUGUGCAGGGCGAAUGAUGGCUUCCCGUGAGCAUUGUUGCCUCAUGGUUGGUUGAAAAUUGAGUCCUUGGUAGGGAGCGCCGUAAUAGAUGGUGGUUGAGUGACGAACGAGACCCAAUCAUGUGAGACCCCUACCGAAUUUGGCCUUCAUGACCCACAUGCGUCUUUGGAACGCUCAUGACGAGACCUCAGGUCAGGCGGGGCUACCCGCUGAGUUUAAGCAUAUCAAUAAGCGGAGGA
rnacentral:misc_RNA from 1 species